rnacentral:rRNA from 1 species
UACGAAGGGGGCUAGCGUUGCUCGGAAUCACUGGGCGUAAAGCGCACGUAGGCGGCUUUCUAAGUCAGGGGUGAAAUCCUGGAGCUCAACUCCAGAACUGCCUUUGAUACUGAAGAUCUUGAGUUCGGGAGAGGUGAGUGGAACUGCGAGUGUAGAGGUGAAAUUCGUAGAUAUUCGCAAGAACACCAGUGGCGAAGGCGGCUCACUGGCCCGAUACUGACGCUGAGGCACGAAAGCGUGGGGAGCAAACAG